UGUCAUUAUUAUGGCGAAGUGAAGGGAAAUGUGGUGUACAUUUUUCUCUCACAUUAAAGUGGUAAAGAAACCACUGCUCUCCAGAUAGGGAAUAAAAACAACCAGAUCGAUUCCUUUAACGUAAAUUAUUUUCAUGCCCUUGUACAUGAAGCGUCAGCUGUGCAAGAUACUCCUGCUUCAUUCAAAGCAAAAUAUCUCCAAACCUUACAAUAUUUGAAUAUAAUUUAUGUUAUUAAAGAAAUUUUAAAGCCAGGAUCUUGUUGAAUCUGCAAGAGAACCGCCUCAGCUGGGUGGUACAGAUCUUCUAAAGCCCCAGUUUACGGUGGAGGAAACCGAGAGUCCAGGAGGAUGUUUUGAACAAAGAUGAACAGAGCUGUUCCCCAGGCCGGUGUUUCUCCACUGUUCUGUUCCGAGAAGCUUCCCAGAUCAAUGCAGUUUUUGGAUUGAGAAAACCCACGGAGAAAACUUGAGCAUCUCAAGCUUAGAAACCUAUUUCCGGAUCAAGCAAGCUGCCUGGAUGGAAGCAGUGAGAAAAUUAAUCAGCAAAAUCUUCUGAAAUUAGAGGACAGAACGCGAGAUGCAUGCCUGAAGAAUGGAAAGCAGAGGUGAAGGAGCGAAACUCGACAUCUGAUCACAAAAGGAAACCCCGACGGCUUUCCAGUAACAAUGCAGCAUCCAUCUUCAAAUGCCUAGACAACAAAAAGAGAUGCGCGGGCCCCCUGUCCCACUUGCAACAUGCUCAUCUGAGAGAGAAGUGCCCCCUCAGUCACACUGGAGCUGGCCGUCAGGACACGGCUGCUAGGAGAAUGGGGUUUAAAUCACGCCCUGGUACCGUGAAUGAGAAAUAGGUCAGUACUUGUAUGAUAUUGGCAGCUGCACGAAUGUCCCUUCUUUCUAUGUUGAGGCUCUCCCCAAAGAAUGUGGAAGAACCAUCCGUGAGAGGUGCACAAAGAAAGAAUUGCUUUUUCAUCCUAAGGCACUCCGUGGGCAUUGAUUGUGACAACUCCCCUGUGGGGCAUGUAAUCAUGUAUCCGGUUGAGAAAAUUAGGAAGCAAGAGAGGAAGUAAAUUUCCCCAAGUCCCUGUAUUCUGUAAAAUCAGAAAGAGAAGCCAGAGGUUGGGGUGCCCUUGAGAUCCAAGUACCAUUUGAGAUGGUGUCCGUGAUGGGGUCAUUCAUGUCCAGCGGGGAAUGCUGGCCAAGCGAAGCAGGAACAUGACCUCUAAGGGCCCAAGGUCAUGCCUCUUCCAUGCAAGCUGCCCUGAGAAGUGUGCAUGUGGAGGGGGUGCGUUCUGACCCUGACUCCCUCUGUGAAGAGGCUCCCCAACGUCCCUCUUCCCGGGUCCUAAUCCCCCUCCAUGGCCCAGACACAGCCCACACUCUCCAAGCACAGAACCAUGGGAGCCCUCAACAUUCUCAUUCUUUGUUUAAAAUCAGCUUUAUGAAAAUAUGAUUGAAAUAACAUGCAUGCACUCAUUUAAAGUGUAUAAUUCAGUGGCUGUUGGUAUAUUCACAGAUGUGUGCUACCAUCGCCACCGUCAACUUUAGAACGUUUCUCUACUUCAGAAGGAACCCAGGACCCUUGACUGUCAUCGCCUCUCCUCUGGUCUCCCUCUAUACCCCUGCCCUCAGCAGCCACGAUAGAUUUCUCAACUCCAGGCUUUCCUGUGAACAGAAUCGUGUUGCAGGUGGCGUUUUGUGACUGGCUUUUUUCACUUGGCAUGUUUUCCAGGGUUCAUCCGUGUUGUGGCAUGUGUCAGUGUUUCAUUCCUUUCGAUGGAUGAACAAUAUUCCACUGUAUGGACAGACUACCUUUGUCUAGCCAUUCAUCCAUUGAUGAGCAUUUGGCUUGUUUUCAACUUCUGUCUAUUAGGAAUGAUGCUGCUAUGAGCAUCCGUGUGCAAGUUCUGUGUGGAUGUGUGCCUUCACUCCUCCUGGUUGUAUACCUAGGAGUGGAAUUACUGGGUCUUAUGGUAACUUUGUGUUUAAUCAUUUGAGGAGCUGCUAGGCUGGUUUUCAAAGAGCUGUACCAUUUUCAUCCCUCUAAGUGUGUUCAUCCUCCACAUCCUGACAGAAGGGUGCACAGUUUCAGCCACACAGAAGGAGUUCUGGGGAGCCAAUGCACAGCACGGAGACCAUAGUUAGCAAUUCUGUAUUGGGUACUAGACAUUUGCUAAGACGGUGGAUCUCAACUGUUCUCACCGUACACUCGAAAGAGAUCACUAUGUGAGGUGAUGGAUGGAUGGAUGGAUGGAUGGAUGUGUUAAUUAGCUUGAUUAUGGUAGUUAUUUCACGUAAUGCGUAUGUAAACCAAACCAUCAAGUUGUACAUUAUCUAUAGAUAGAUAGAUAGACAUAAUUCUUAUUUGUCAAUUAUACCUCAAUAAACCUUAAAAAAAGUCGGAUACCA
rnacentral:lncRNA from 1 species